rnacentral:tRNA from 1 species
UCCAUUGUGGUCUAACGGCUAUGAUUUGUCGCUUUCACCGACACGACCGGGGUUCGACUCCCCGCAAUGGAA